GCCGGUGUGGCGAAAUGGCAGACGCAGCAGACUCAAAAUCUGCCGUACUUCGGUACGUGUCGGUUCGAGUCCGACCACCGGCA
rnacentral:tRNA from 1 species